rnacentral:misc_RNA from 1 species
UCGUACAACCGAGGUGCAAGGGCUGUCGCUGACCUUUGAAGGUCGUGCACGCCCGAGCGCUCUCGCCACAAUCCAUCUCACCCCUUUGUGCAUCACCGCGUGGGUCCCCCUUUGCGGGGAGGGCUCGCGUUUUCACACAAACUUGAUACAGUGUAGAAUGUCUUCCUUUGCGAUCACACGCAAUUAAUA